AUAGCUCGAAAGCCGCAUUUGCUCGUUACGUACAUGCCGAUUCUCUCGGCCUCUCGCGAGCGGGCUAAGGUCUGAGCAUUCUAGUCCUCUUGUAACCCGUGUCUAGCCGGCACCGGCUCUAACAAGGCCGAGCAGAGCAUCAGACAUGCGCUCUCUGCUGCUCGUAUCGCCCGGAGAACCGUAAGGGGAGGGCUUAGCGGCAUGCUGGAGCUUGGAAUAACUCUGCGAGGACAGGGCCGUUUGGUUUGCCUCGUCCUGGGCUUUUGGUCCUCUUUCACACCCACGCGCUAGCGUCGAGAACUAGCGCCCAGUCUUUCCGGAGACUGAGAAUCACGCAUUGUGCCCCCCGGGUAGACUCGGGAUGGGUGCGGUGUACGGCCUGGAUUAGUUCCAGGUGCCGAUUGAACCUGAGGAGAUCGGGGCGGUUCCACUGGACGUAGUGAGCCCGAGCCCAGAUUGUCGAGGUGGCACCUUGGCAGGACUCGGGAAUCGUGCGUACAAAAAUUGGCUGCAUACCAUCUUUCCUUCCACCCGAGUGUCGGGAAGGAGGCCUAAGCUCACCGGUUCAGUUGGUUGUGGUGAUCGAGGAGGAUAUCUCCAGGACGAGUCGAGCGGCUCUUGAGUUCACUUUGCGGCUCGCACAUGUUCGCCUUUUGGUGACUGCGAAACUCGAUUCAGACUACUCUUGGGCUGU
rnacentral:RNase_P_RNA from 2 species